ensembl:lncRNA
GCGAGAGCGCGAGAGAGAGCUUGGCAGGAAAUAGCUGAACAAGUCAAUGCCAAAUGGAAAAAAUGCAGAGACCCGGCAGACUGGAGGGGGUCCACCACCUGCAGCCCUCACAGAGGCUGAGGAGAUGGCCCUCAGCCAACAGAGUAUGCGUCCUGUGGCUGAGGGCAUCCCUGGGGGGAGCUCCUCUGAUCCCCCCCACCCCCCAGGAUAGAAGUGCCUUUACAGUAUAAGGGUUACUGAUAGCGCCCUACUUGAACCAGAUGCCCUCACCAACCUCCAUGCAAUUGUAACAAUUCAAAAGAUGCAAAAGGAUGCUUUGGAGAUCCAAAUUUU